UCCUCGCAUUUAAACAAGGAGAUACAGUGUUACACUGACUGACAGAGUAGGAGGGGAAUUAUUGGGUGUUGUAAGUGCAUUCUCAUUGAAAAAGCAGCUUCCCAAAACAGAUUCAGCUGGAUUGUGAUAGCUGAAAGCAACAUGAAAUGGAGAUGUACCAAUAACUCAGAGGAAAAUAUGUUUUUUUUUCCUACCUUGACCUGAAAAGUUUGAUGGCAAGAAAGACUGCAAGAAAGGACUUUUGUAAGUACAAAAGGCAGCUGGUGCAAAGAUACAUGGAAAAACGAUUGCCUGUUCUCGUAAAAUCUACUCACACAUCCUUGUCUGCUAAUAUCAGUUUCCAUUCCAAAAACUCCAAGCAUAACUGUUUCCAGUGCUUUGCUUCAUGAAAGAUGACAAUGGAAUAAGAAGGUGAACAACUUGUAUUCAUACAGCUGAAUACUGCUGAAUGCAAUCAUGCUAAUGAGCAUACAUCAAACUCAUUAGUACAGUUGUCCGUUCAUCAACCUUGGAUUUGGACUCAUUUACAGAUUUCAGCAAGCUACUUGCAAUUUUUUUUUUUUGGGGGGGGGGUCUGUAAGCUGUGCAGCAUAGAGGGACUACUCCCAAGAUGAUCUAGGAGUAUUAAUGGCACAGUUGCUAAAACACCUGACCAUGGAGGGAUGAAAAUGAGUAGUCAAUUGACAAGGUGAGUAACGGUGAGGGCUAGUGGACUCCCACCACAAGACCUCACAUAUUGGAAGGCACAAGAAUGCAAACUUCACCUUAUAGACAUGGGACCAAGGGUCAGCUAGGGAAUGCACACAUUUCAGCAGAGCCUGGAUGUAUGUAGAAGCAUACAGAUAGAAAGCACAGCAUUGUAGUUAGUGCACCAUAUUUUCUGACCACUGGGGGGAAGUAGUCAA